rnacentral:rRNA from 1 species
GAUGAACGCUGGCGGCGUGCCUAAUACAUGCAAGUCGAGCGAACAGAUAAGGAGCUUGCUCCUUUGACGUUAGCGGCGGACGGGUGAGUAACACGUGGGUAACCUACCCAUAAGACUGGGAUAACUUCGGGAAACCGGAGCUAAUACCGGAUAACAUUUGGAACCGCAUGGUUCUAAAGUGAAAGAUGGUUUUGCUAUCACUUAUAGAUGGACCCGCGCCGUAUUAGCUAGUUGGUAAGGUAACGGCUUACCAAGGCGACGAUACGUAGCCGACCUGAGAGGGUGAUCGGCCACACUGGAACUGAGACACGGUCCAGACUCCUACGGGAGGCAGCAGUAGGGAAUCUUCCGCAAUGGGCGAAAGCCUGACGGAGCAACGCCGCGUGAGUGAUGAAGGGUUUCGGCUCGUAAAACUCUGUUAUUAGGGAAGAACAAAUGUGUAAGUAACUGUGCACGUCUUGACGGUACCUAAUCAGAAAGCCACGGCUAACUACGUG